UACGUAGGCAGCAAGCGUUGUUCGGAAUUACUGGGCGUAAAGAGUGUGUAGGCGGUGUUCUAAGUCUGUUGUGAAAUCUCCCGGCUUAACUGGGAGGGUGCGGCGGAAACUGGAAUGCUAGAGGAUGGGAGAGGUAAGCGGAAUUCCUGGUGUAGCGGUGAAAUGCGUAGAUAUCGGGAGGAACACCAGUGGCGAAGGCGGUUGCCUGGAGCUUUGCUGACGCUGAGGCGCGAAAGCGUGGGGAGCGAGUCCGG
rnacentral:rRNA from 1 species